AGGUGCUGACCCCUAUAGGAAAGCCAUUUAUGAGGCAUGGUAUUCAAUAUCUAACGUAGCAUUGUCCUUAAUAAGUACAAUCACUCUGUACCCCUUCAAAUUGUCUUGCUCUCCUCUGCCUCUGCAUUUUGUAACUUGUAAGAGGGAUGAUCAUCUCUUUGCGGCUUCACGAAUUAGCUGACUAUAAGAAUUGCCACUGCAUGUUCUUAAGAAAUUCAAUCAGUGGUCUCUGGAUCUACACCCAUGCAUAGUGGCACUUAUUAAGGGAUCUUGAUGUGGAAUUGUAAGAAGGAUCUCCAUAUGUCACUGCAUGUUAACUGUUUCCCUAUCUUGGAUGACUAUGGUCAAUAUAUGGAGGAUCAGGACAUGUCAUGUUUAGCCUAUUUCCACUAAAUGCAUAGGAGUUCUACCGCUCAUUCAUUUUCCCAUUUUUUAGGCCACAGAUUUCCGUACAGGGAAAGUGCACUUUGGGAGUGACUCUUUUGCAUAUUAAGAUUCUCUAAAAGCCUAUGAAUUUGUGGCUUUGCACAUUAAAAA